GCUAUGGAUUAGCCGUGUUGUGCUAGCCGUUAGCUAACGGAUACUGGAGGUUUUGGAUCGUCGGGUGACGUGAUAAAUUUAACACGUGUUUUGGCUAAACGGCCACCGUUAGCAACAUAUUGAUCAUACAGAUGGCCAGCAGGGAAGUGUAUUGUGCUGGAGAAGUGAUUUGAUACAUUUCUUUGGUUUCUUUGUUUUUUCCCUGCAGUGAAGGAUCGUUACCAUUGGGAUCCAUUGCAUGUUACAAUAACUCAAGCUCACCACAGGUGCUCCAAAGGAAAGCUAACAAAUGGCCACCAUUGAAACCUUCAGUCGGAUCCAGUCAGAUUCCUCUGACCUGAGAGCCAAGAGCAUUACUGGAGCACCCUGCAGACAACCGCCCGACUAACCUCAUUACAUUGCAGAGAAAAGGCAAGGAUCAAUGGAUUUUCCCUGCAAGAGUGAAACAUGACAGACAUAACGAAAGCCUUUCAUGAGAAAUGAAUGAAUAAUUCAUGGACGCUCUCUGGCUGCGCUUUGUUGUGUCUCAUACAGAUGGGAUUACAGAAGGCUAGAUCUUGGAAACAUAUGAAAGAUUAAUUUGUGAUCUGGGACACUGCUUGCUUACAAAAGGACUAAAUAAUGAUUUUACUGAGAGUGGCAGGGAUCUGGGGAUGGGUGCAACGUGCACAGGGGGCUGGACACAAAGAGCCUGCAGAGAACAUAGCACUCCGAGUAAUGUGACCUGACAGAUAUUCAAAAACUCUGUGCGAAAAGUGAACUUCAGCUCUCAAAAAAUUCUCAUUACUUUGAUUAAUGUUUUGAUGCAAUUUAAUAAAAACUGAAGUUAGUGCAGGAA